AUGUUCUGGUUUCUUCUCAGAUCAUAUAAAUCUUUCACCUUUUACUAAAAAUUUCCAUGGAAAUGAACAUCUAUGAGUUUUCUUUCUUUAAGAAGUGCUGUGCUUGAACAGAAAU